rnacentral:rRNA from 1 species
CCUACGGGCGGCAGCAGUGAGGAAUAUUGGUCAAUGGCCGCAGGGCUGAACCAGCCAAGUCGCGUGAGGGAUGACGGUCCUAUGGAUUGUAAACCUCUUUUGUCAGGGAGCAAAGGGCGCCACGUGUGGCGCUUUGCGAGUACCUGAAGAAAAAGCAUCGGCUAACUCCGUGCCAGCAGCCGCGGUAAUACGGAGGAUGCGAGCGUUAUCCGGAUUUAUUGGGUUUAAAGGGUGCGCAGGCGGAAUGUCAAGUCAGCGGUAAAAUUUCGGGGCUCAACCCCGUCGUGCCGUUGAAACUGGCGUUCUUGAGUGAGCGAGAAGUAUGCGGAAUGCGUGGUGUAGCGGUGAAAUGCAUAGAUAUCACGCAGAACUCCGAUUGCGAAGGCAGCAUACCGGCGCUCAACUGACGCUCAUGCUCGAAAGUGUGGGUAUCAAACAGGAUUAGAUACCCUAGUAGUC